CGCUCUAUUCUUAGCUACAUACAGACCUGAGCAGGAUAAAUUCCCUGACUUAAUCAGUUUUACAUUCUAGAAAGAUAAAGCAGACAACACCAUCUAUACACAAAGGAACUAACUUCAGAGGAAAACAAAUACAGUCAGGAGGAAAUGUUAAAAGCUGCUGAUACUUUAAUUAGUGUUGUCAAAGAGGGCUCUCCAAGGAGCCAGCGAUUUGAGAUCUAAAUGGUGAAAUAGUCUCACACAUCAGAGAAAGUGUCCCAGGAAUAAAAAGCUGCAAGUUCAAAGUUGGUGUUCUUAAAGUGAUUUACAGACUCAAAGAUGCUGGGGAUGACUGAUUCUGGGAUUCUCACAACACUGCAGGCAGAGAUUUCUUUUACUGUGAUAAAACACCAUGACCAAAAGCUACUUGAGGAUUAAAGUUUUCUUCUGCUUAUAAUGCUUGGGUAACACACCAUCAAUGAAGGAAUGCAGUGAAGGAAGUCAAGCAGAGCAAAAUCCUGGAGUCAGAAGCUGAUGCAGAGGCCAUGGAGAACUGCUGAUAACUGGUGUGUUCUUUGUGGCUUGCUUAGCCUGUUUUAUUAUAGAACCCAGGACU